CCAAUACCUCAACCACAAGAAGAUCCGACUCUCCUUAAAGAGAAAAAAUAAUCAACACUAAGAGUCUAAGACUAAUUAACAAACACCAAGGAAACCACCAAUCAACGAGGACCAUAAAUAAAAGACAGAAAGAUCAUUAUACUUUCUAUUCACUAUAUACCAUUUUCAACGGAAGAGAAAUAAUUUUAUAAAGAGAUAAAUUUGUGUUGAACCUGAAAAUGGAUAAAAUUUUUUGCCUCCUUGAGUGCCACUAUAAUUUCAUAUGGUAGAUCAGAUCAAACAUGUCCGCUCUCAAUUUUGCAUACUUUAUACACAAUCCAGGUUUUUAUGAAAAAUGGCACAUUUUUUUUCUAUAAAGAAGAUUGAAUCAAACAAAGGAUAAAAUAAGUAGCAGAGAUUGUUUUUUUGUUUUUAACAGUUUUUGAGAGACUAUUUG
rnacentral:lncRNA from 1 species